rnacentral:rRNA from 1 species
GGGGGAAGAGGGAAAAAGGGGAGAAAGCCUGAGGCAGCCAGGACGCGGGUAGGAAGAAGGACGGCGGGGGGGAAAGGAAGUGCAGAGGGGAGGAAGGGGGGGAGGGGAAGAACACGAGAGAGGGAAGGGACGAGAAGAAGAAGCAGAGGGGAACGAAGUGCCAGGAGCCGCGGUAAUACGGAGGGUGCAAGCGUUAAUCGGAAGUACUGGGCGUAAAGCGCACGCAGGCGGUCUGUCAAGUCGGAUGUGAAAUCCCCGGGCUCAACCUGGGAACUGCAUUCGAAACUGGCAGGCUAGAGUCUUGUAGAGGGGGGUAGAAUUCCAGGUGUAGCGGUGAAAUGCGUAGAGAUCUGGAGGAAUACCGGUGGCGAAGGCGGCCCCCUGGACAAAGACUGACGCUCAGGUGCGAAAGCGUGGGGAGCAAACAGG